AAUUAUCUAUUAAAAUUUAGAUUAAAAAUUUAUAAUUUAUUACCAUUAUUUUAUUAUUUUAUUUUAUGUAAAAAUAAAUAUUACUAGGUUACCAGUUGAUUUUUACGAUUCGUUUAGAAUCACCUUUUUCACGUAAAAAUGGAAAUUCGCUCGAAAUGUCUAAUAAAACUUUAGUGCCUCGUCGAUAUUACAGCACAGCUAUACACAUGAAUCGCCUUUCUUAUUUUUAAGCUAUCGAUUCGAUCUUAAUAACCGGAAAAAUUCCAACCACUUUGUGAAAAUGAUCACUUAAUGUUUCCAUUUGCAAGUUAAAUUUUUCUUUUCUUCCAUGUUCUAACCUCACUUCCUACCAUGUCAAAUGCCAAAUGUUUGCAAACCAAUGAGAAAUGUAUACAUCGUGUUAAAAAAAGUGACACACCGAAUACAUAUUGUUCGUUAAUUGAUGUAAUUCAUCGAAGUAUCACGCACGAUGGAUAAUUAGAGAAGCAUGUCCCGCGAAUUUCUUUGUCGCGCAAUAAAUACUGGUUCGCGCGCGCCGGCACGUCCCGCCAGGAAUACUCACGUGGCGCCAAUACGAGCUUCGCGAGCUUAAUUAUAGUCACUCGAUUAGAAUGCACCAGCGGGAGAACCGUAGUCGUUCGAGGUACAAGUGCAACGGUGCGCCUUUCCUUUUGUGUUCGUGCCACUCGCUUCAAUUCCAUCCGCGUGAUCUCUCGGUUUUUACGGACCGUAUCGAGAUGCGGCGGAGGAAAGAACGAUUCUGUAUCGAUCCAAAGGAAAAUAAACGACUGGUCUCUGUCGCGAGAAUCGAAGAAUUGAGUAAUAAAAGAAAUCGUUCGCCUUUCGAACAAGUUUCAUAUCAACAGAUCUCUGCACAAUAUUUUCCAAUCAUUCUGAAAUGAAUUUAAUCCUCGAACGAAGAAGGAAAUUUUAACGCUAUAAAUUAUCAACUCUUAAAAAUAACAAAACGAUUAAAUAUCCCGUCAUAACGUUUCAGAAUAAUUCUCAAUUAGAUAACGAAACAAAAAUUAUAAAAUCAUUCUUUACGUUACAUCCAGCUAUCGAUACGCAUCGUUCAUCGAAUUCUUUUCACGAAAAUUCUCCACCAUCCAGUUCCGGCAAUAUAAUUAUUCUCCUAACUCGGACGAUCCUAUUCUCCGCUCACUCCGCUUUAUUCCGCUCGAUUCUUUCUGACAUUUGGAGCUCCCCCGCUUUAUACACACCUUCGCACGCAGGUAUGCAGAGGUAUACCUCCUCCCACACCUUCUCCGAGCUGCAUGCCCUCCCCUUUCGUGUCGUACGUUUAAGUGAUCGAACCUUAACGGUCUGCCGGUGCCGCGGCCGGCUUUACCUAGAUUCUAAGCGUACGUACGAAGUGCGCUUCGAACACUGCGCGCGUCGAAAGAGAAGGAUGGGCAAGGAACGAUAAAGAGGGGAAGAGGAUACUACCGGCAAGAGGUCAACCUCUACGGAGACCUUCGACGCGCGUUCUUUUCGUCGGCAGGAUGUGCGCGCGCGCGGCUGAUAUCCUUUGACCUUAGCACCGCUUAAACGCAAGAAUUUCGAUUCGAUUUUGUCGCGCGCCGCUUCGCACCUUUUCCUUUCUUCCUUUUUUUCCGUCCUUUCUGAAAAUUCCACAAAAUAUUAUUACUAUUAUUUUUCUGUAUUAUCGAGAGUGAAUAUAGAAAUAUCCUUUGAUAAAAAAUAUAUCAUUUAGUUUUUCAAGUGCAAGAUAUUUCUAAAUUGUUAAAAAUUGUUAUAAUCGAUCAAGGUUAGGUUAGGUUUCACAUUCACCACAGUGAAUCGAUGGAAAUUGUUAAUGAUACGAGUGGAGCGUAAUUGUGUGGGUAAAAGUCGACGUGACGGUGUCUUGAUGUAUAAUUUAAAUUGUUUUUAGCAUUUCGUUUUUAUGCGCCAUGAACACUGUCAUGGAGAUUACUGUAAGAGGUCAAGUAUAGCGGAUGCUCGAGGAUUUUUCGCGGAGGGGAUGCGUGUACGGGGCAUGCAGGUGAUAUCCUUUGACCUUACCGGUACUGAACAGGCUCUAAUGCGGGCUCGAGUUUGGCUUCAAAACUCGUGUGUGGAUUUUAACGCGGCGUGUUUGCACAUUUUAAACCGCCGCUUUUUGUUUUCCACACUUUUCACAUAAUACAAUAAUACAAUCGUUUUUCUUUUUUUUUUUUCUUUCCAAGUUUUAAACAACGUGAAUUUUUUAAAAUUAAUCUUUCAGUUAAUCUGCCUCUAGCUGCUGCAAUGAUGACGACAAAUUAAUCAAAAUAUUGUGCGCGUUUAAAAUUGAUCUUUCGAAAGAUAGCGAAUCGUAAAACCAAUGAUCCUUGAAAUAGUGGCAUUGCUAUUACAACAAAUUAGUUUCGAGAUAAGGGAAACGUUUCAAUAUAUCGAACCUCGAUCAUACACCGAGUUCUCUUAUCUUAAACACACAUUACUUACUACUACCGGGUAAAGUAUUUUAUGAAAAUAGUUUCAAGUUUUCAAAAUCGAGCUCCACGUUUUUGAUCGACAUAAUCGAAGUUCGAAUGUUUGGUGGGAUAUGAAAAUGGAAUAAAAAUAAAACAGAAGAGGAAGAAUAUCCUAGACAUGGACGAUAAAACGAUGCAAAGGGAUACGAUGUAGCAAGUAGAAAAGCAGCGUGGAAAAAUCGAAAUGAGUCGUCUGGAGGGUAGAAAUAUUUUUCAUAUCGAAAAGGAAGGAAAUCAUCUGUCAUGUUUAAUAGGACACGAGAUAGUGGCUGUAGUGCAUAGAAGAUCGGCAACGAUGAAGCAGGAAUUACGAUGCGGCGGCGUUGCAUACGUUCGCCCACCUUGAAAACAGAGAAGAAAGAGAGAACACCGACGCAUCACGUGCAUUCAUCGGCUCCUACGAAUUAAUCCUAUUACAGCGGAAAGCCUCACCUUCGUCGGCCACAUCAUCAUCAUUGGCGUCGCCGUCAUCUGACAUCGUCAUCGUAUAUUCCCUCGUCGAUCCCACACCGCGUGCGAAGGCGAGCCUUUUACGUAAUGGACAGGAGGUUCCGUUUGUUUAUGUAAUCAGAUCCCCCAGAAACUCGCGGAGAACGGUUCGACAAUUUUGCAAUGAAUUCACCGCUCAUUUCCUGCUCUUUAUUCGACAGAUUAGAGAUAAGUUUUCGACGAAAUUCAGAAUAUAUUCAUUUUGUAAGGGAUAUUCUCUGAAUUUUCGAAAGAAAGGCAAAGGAAUAAUUGCGAUAAUUAAUUUAUAGAAACUUUUAUUCAGAAGAAGAUUAAAUUGUCUUUGCGUUCGAGAUUGCUCCCAGGCACAGUAUUUUAUUUCUGGUCGACGGUACUCGUGUCCUCGUAAAUAUCAAUUGCAGCGUUGGCAAAUCGCGCUUACCAUAAAGAGAACGCAUCCAGUCGAUGGUCGAGCGGGUUACAAUCACCGGUUGAAAAAAAAGGAAAAAGAAAGAAAAAUGAACGCCAUACGCGACUGUGCGAUUUACUCGAGAGAUUUGAUCUUCUCUCACCUUCGAUCAUUCAGGGACAAUCGAUAGUUUUCUUAAUCGCGUUCCACCGCCAUCAAAUAUCUAUUCUACGCUGCUUGUUCGGCCGCGCGGUCGCCGAUGCGUAAAGACACGUCCUUCGACGUUAAUAACAACGAUAAUGAUAUCACAAUCGCGAAAAUGCCGGGAGAGAACUGCGUGGCAUCGUUUUCUGCAAUUUUACACGACGCUUUUAUUCUAAUCUUAUGGAUUUUUCUGCGAAGAACGCGCUAAUUAAUGAACCGCCGACGGUGUCGCAUCCGUAAAAGAAUGCUGUGGGAAUGUUGGACAGGGUGGCCAACGUAGGAUCGAUAAAUGAGAUCAGAAAAUCACGUAUAACGGAUAUUCGUCCACAUUUCUUUGAGUUUUGAGGCAGUUUGUUAUUCGAAAAUAACAAAGUUCUAAGGUUCCCAUUUCGAGCGCAUCGUAUGCAAAGAGGUACAAAGUGUGAAUAAUGAAAAGUAUUUUCCAAAGCGACGUGUGUGUUCCCGUGAGCGUGCGGAUUGUUUCGUAUUUCUCGUCACGAGUCUGGCCGCGGGAAGAGACAAAAGAAAAAUGAAAAUGAAGGAAACGAAAGGAGCAAGUGGAACGAGACGAUUCACGACGGAUAAACGACAAAAGAACUGAUGUAUUGUAGACAAGAAGAUAAGGGUAAGGAAUAAUAAAAAGAAAUAGAAGAAUCUAAUGCCGUGCUGGUGUACGCAGAAGACAGGAACACGACAGGACAAAGAGUAAAAAGGAAGCUGGAAGCACGGAUACAAAGAGUGGUAGAUAUAAAUUAUCUACAGACUGUGUCCUCGUUUUUCACGAGGAAUUCAUUAUCUCGAAUCUAUAGAUUUAUAUUCUAAUUUGUGAAUAAUUUAUGAAAACGAAAUGUUAACACUGACGCUGCGUGACUAUGAAUUACUCGUACAAUUAUUUAUUUAUUCUUUCUUAUUUCUAUUUUUUUUUUUUGUUUUCAGAUAUUUCAUGUGUUAUAUAUUUCUACAAAAAUGGAGCAUAUUUUUAAUCCUCGAUGUGAAAAUUAUGCUAAAAAAUUAAUUACUGUCAAUUUAUAAAUACACGAUAAUUCGACGCGCGAGAAUUAUUUGAAAGAAUUAUGCACUGCUCCAUUAUCCACGCUAUCAAGAUCUAUGCUGUUGUACGGAAGAUGAAUUCCCUAUUCUAAAGGGUUAAUGUAUUCCGACCAUCACAAUGGCACAUAAACGUCACAUCAAACGGUCAGUGACAGGUCGGUAAGAACCGGCAGAGUCGCAAGGAACAAAGUAAUCCGGAGGUUGUCUGUUCGAAACAGAAGAAUUCACCUGACUGACUUCGUGACCCUUAAGUCAAGUCAUAGAGAGAGAGCAGACCCGGAUUUCCCAUUAGGCUAAUCAUCAAGCCAUGGGCGCACGAUCUUGAAACAUAUAUCUAAUCUUCGUGAAUAUACGAUUAAGGCAAAAUUGCCAACAUUUUGAAAUAAGCUCACGCUGCUGUUUCUAGAUACUCUCCUAUCUAUUUUUAGUAAACAGGCGACAUAUAUUUAAAUUUUGUGAUUAUCUUCCAUGAUGGACAGUAUUUAUGUUGGUAUUUGUAAUUCUUAAGCUUCUUUAAUUUUAGAAAUUUAUAUUCAAAGCCAAUUAUCUUAUACACGUAUCGUUCUAUUUAAUAUAUUCAAAAUUUCUAGUAACAGAUUAUCGUGAUGCAAAAAGGCGAGCAGGAAUAAUCGGAUCAGGAACAAAGACGAAUAAUCGUUUCUAAUAUAAUAAUAGCCGAUGCGUGCAUCGGCCUACGGCUACUUUUUUAUAUACCGUUCGGUCCAUCCUAACUUUGGAUUUAAACGCCGGAAGCAGGAGCAACGCGCUUAAUAGUUCGUUGAAAAAGGAGCCUAAGACUUCGAUGAAUCUCUCGUAGGUCAAGAUUCUAAUAAAUCUCCGCAAAUAAUCCCGAAUGAUUUGCCAUUUUACAAUCGUUUCGCGAAAUUGAAUAUUUUAAUAGUUUCUAUUUAUGGACGAAUUUUUCUAGGCGAUAGUAACUCCCUCUACAUACUUUUAAUCCUUGACACUUUAACAAGAAACAAUAUAUCAAACGUUAUUUAUUACCUACGAUAAAUAUUCCUUACGUAAGAACUGCCGUAAAUUAAGAUCUUCUGAACAAUUUGUUAUUAAUCUGUUAUUAAUAAUAAACAAAACGAAAUAGAGGAAAUAAUUCUAAAGCUAUGGAGAGUAUCGAAAUGAUAUCGUCUCGAGCGAUGUUAACCUCGUUUUUGAAAAGUUUAUUUGGAAAUCGAAGAAACGCUUCUACAGGUUAGGAUGACGUGGUCAUGGGUUAGCCGGAGGUUAUUUCGAAGCUCAUCGACUCGCUAUUGGCAAAUCGCGACUUGGAUGAGCCAACGGCGGCGGCUUCGUGUCCUCUGGCAAGGAAAAGAAACCGAUAUUGAUGAAGGAAGAGAGGAGAACAACUUUCACGCGACCACGAGGCUUCUUCGUAUCGGAAUGCAUCCGUGCCCCGUGUGUCUCCCCGAGGGAAAGAAGAUCCCUUAGCCGUUUUAAUUGCAAAUUUCUCUUGCCUGAUCUUCUUGCAAAUUAUUCAACGGAACUAACCAUUACCAUUAAGGGCUCCUGUGAUCAACACUGAAUUUCUAACCAAGAUCAUCUAUUCUUUGAAAGUAUAAUAGUAGAUAUGGAUUGUACACUCGAAUGAAAAAGAGGUUAUGUUAAAGAGAUCUUUGUUGCAAAAGCCGACUCUUGAACGAGAUGUAAUGAACUUCAAUUAUGACGCUGCCGCGUUUCCAUGGGACUGAGACCGCGCAAUAAGCUUUGAAAGUAACUAGUAAAGAAGCCAAGUGAUUCAGUCGUUGAUAUUGUGCGCGGAGAUGCAGAAAACUUUAUGAUGCAAGAACAAAAGUAUGCCUGGAAUUUUACGAUUCUUGCGUUCAAUUCUUAACGCAAGAAUUUUUAUAAUUAUUUAUGCGAAAUAAUCAAUAUGAAAUCAACGUUAAAAAUAUUUUUCUUCAUUGAACAUUAAUCAUCAUAUUGCUAUAUAGUCACAUAUAAUAUCAUAUCAUUACAUAUAACGUAUAGUGAUCAUCUAUUAAAAAACAUUUAUACUUAAGUUUUUAUUUAAAAAUAUUUUAUAUUUAAAAAAAAUAUUAUUCUAUUUUCAUCACUUUUUCCACAUUUCAAUUUAUAGAUAUUAUACAAAUAUUCUGAAGAAAGAUUAAUCAUUUAAAAUUUCACAAAAAAAUAGCAUGUAAGUAAUGAAAGAUUAAUUAUCACAUUCCACUGUUCACUUAAGAAAUGUUAUUUAUUUUUAUUUCUAUGUUCAUUUUUUAGAUCAUAAAAUAUAAUAAAACGUAUAAGAACGAUUAACUUAAUUAUUCUCCAAUUAUAUUUUGUAAGUAAUCAGUAGAGAGAAGAUAAUUGUGAUAAUUAUUCGACGUUAAAUUGAAUCGACAAGUUCAUGGUCAGCUUCAGUGCCAUGAGCUCGAGAAAAGAGAAACAGGUACCGAAAACGGUACCGGACACGCACGGUGUAUACGGCAGGUGGAUGACGCAAGCGGGAUGACUUUACUCGUGGUUAUCCCUUCCCAAAACUAAAAUUUCUUUCUCCCAGAGGGACUUUACAGCUGACAUCUCGCAUCUUUCUAUCUUCCAACUCCCUCAUUCGCCAGUCUCUGAUGUCAGCUUUCAAUAGACAGAUAUACAUGUUGUACAACCGUACACUUUUAUACACAAAUUAUUUUGCGUUUCAAUAUAUUUAAAUUAAGAUCAUAUUACUUACUUAUAUUGGCAAUUAGUCGUGAUUAGAUUACAUUUUUACAAUUAAUCGAUUUUACACUUUAUUCUAUUGUCGUGAGUAUAUCUUCAAAAUAUUAAUAUUUUAAUUAUUGAAAACCUAUUAAUAAGCUUUCUUUUGUCACGAAUAUCGUAUCUUUUAAUUUUUUUCUUUUUGUUAAUAGGCUGAUACAACUAAUCCUAAAUAAUUCAAGAUAACUGAAAAAAAUGUGAAAGCUGGAAAUCUAUUAAUAGAUUUUUCUAAGUCGAUUAACAUCUAUGGCGACACACUGAUCGAAUAUCGCGCACUAUGUCUCACAGAAUUUAUUGUUUCGCUAUCGAGCCGUCCACGAUCUACUUUGAUAAUUACGUACCGUGUAAAACGAUAUUAAAGGGAUAGCGUUUCACGAGCGUAGCAGGUGAUAAGUAGGUUGCUACCCCAUGAAUUUAUGCGAACUUCGUGAGCCACGUUCUUACUCGUUAUUAAUCGCGUGUACGUGUAUUGCGCUUGGUGAAUGAUCGAUCUGUCGGCCGAUCAUUGAUCACCAUAACCCAUCCGUUCGAUGAUACGAUUCGAGAAAUCAGGCCUCGUUCCGGUUUCUUUCAAUGUUCCCGCGGUAUCUGUUAUCGAUCACCUUGGCCAAUUACGUACAUCGGCACAAUUUCUCCGAUAAUGAUAGAUGUUGAUUUUCAAUAAGUGCAAAAAACUUGAAAAAUGCAAAAUAAAAUAGAAAAAAACUAUACAUAAUUACUGACGAUAACACGCGUGCAAAAGAAAAAGUCGAAUACGUGAAAUAAUUCUUUUCGACUUUUCACGUGUUCUCUUGCAAAUAUGGCCGUACACGUCGACCAACCAUACAGCUAGAAAAUCCCUAUGACCCAUAUGUUGCUAUUCACUUAGAAUCAAAUUUGUUUCUCGACCACCCGGUAUAUAGAUAUGAUUAACCUUUCAGCGCCGUUAGCUCGUUCGGGUUGUGUAUUCGCUUCGAUCAAUGGUGCCACCGAGCGCAACACACGAAUCGCAGAAACGAACAUGGAAAAAUCACGGCGAUUAUUCCGAGGAUUAUGUUAGGUCGUUGACUCUGCGAGCUCUUCCGGUAAAUAUCCUUCCUGAUAGUGCCUGUGUGUAAUCGAUAGAAUAAUUCGACUGUGUGCUUCUCACGAUGGUAAAAUAUUCAUUCCCAUAGCAAUAAAAUGUCCGCGCGUAAUAAGAAAUAACAAUUUAAGGGACGAGUUUUGUGAAAGGGUUAGCUGCGAGCAGAUCGUUUUCAACAAGCUUUUCAAACCAGUAUUCAUUGGUUUUUUACUAUUUGGGAUACGAAUAAGAUACGUAAUCGCCUAUAUAGGAGUCGAUUAUCUAUAAACGUAAGAAAGUAAUUUCGCAAUGCAAUUAGAGUUGGAAAUAAUUAUGCGAGAAUUCAAAAUUGAAAUUGAACGUGUAACAGUUGAAUGAUAAUCGGAAAUAAGAAUUUAAAGCAAGUAAAAUAAAAGAAAAGUGAAAAAAAAGAGGAAUAUCAAUCAACUUUAUGCAUUCUACGCAUAACCUCUACGAAAAUUAAUAAACAAUAUUUUACCACGAAGAGAAUAUCACGUAUAUAUACGAUACCAAACAUUUAUAUAUAUAUUAGCCGAAUAGUUAACAGUGUUCUUCUCCUUACUAUGAAACUGAAAAUUGCUUUUCAGCUUCUCUCUUCUUCCUUACAUUAGAUUUCAAACACGCUUCUUACGUAUCCUUCCAUCGUAAUAUCUACAAUCUGCGCGCAUUAAAAUGAUCUACAGGGAUCGUAGAACCAUGCCUUACCGUUAUUUCAACUUCAACCGAAAUGUGUCACAGACCCUUAUCCCCAUUCAAUUACGUUAAUCCCGAUGCGCACUGUACAAAUAUUUAUCGCACAGUGUAUUAAAUCCACAAUGGAAUCGUUAUCCUUAAACCCAUCACGGGCUAAAACAAGAUAAAUCGUGCGAUUUAUUUCAACGGGGGAUCAAGGGGUCAGCGUGUAUCACAGCCUCGAAACUCGAAGCUCGCGUAGGUGCAUCGUGCAAAGCGCCAAGCACAGAUAUUUCAAUAGCGCAACCAGCGCAAACGAAUAUACACGGUCGUGUUGCCCACAGGCUUCGUUGCGGCACAGAAACCUUUCUCUCUCGUCUCCUCGAACGCAUCUACGUGCUACGGUAUCCACGUGCAUAUGUAUAUGCGAUCAAGUGCGAUUAAUCGAUGCACGUAAUGACGCGUUUAAACGAUCGACGAGACGCGUAGGAUAAUCGAUCCGACGCCUUGUUCGCUUCCUCAAAAAUGAUGAUGGUAUCCUCUUACGCGAAUUGAUAAAUUAUGAUAAUUUUGAUAAGAGUGAAAAUGUGCUGAUCCAACAAGUCUUUCUUCUUUGGAAGUCAAGAUAUAAUUGGAAACUUGGUUCAUUUAAAAAGUGAUGUGAUUUAUUUUGCGUGAUAUCUAAGAAGAAAAAAUUUUGAAAAAUAGUAAAAUUCUGGCAAGAUAUUUGUCGCUUUCUGGUAGUCCAUGGAUAUGCGAAUAGAUAUGCGAAAAGAUAUACUUAUUGUUGAAGAAUGUUCAUAAAACUGCGACCCAGUAAAACUAAUAAAUCUGUGAAUACGCUUAAUUAAUGCGCCACGGCGGAAUAACGCGGCUAAAUGAUCAACGAUGCGCGGAGUUAAUGACGCUAAUGAGACAGUUUUAGCCGUAUAAUCUAAUUUCAUAGAAUCAUACGUGUCAAGAGUAAAACUUUUGAGAGUUUUGGAAAGCGAAGGAAAGCAAGUUGUCAAGAAAUGUUAAUUGAACACCAAGUUUUUAAAGUAUACUUUCAAUUUCACCGAGUUUGUUUUAACGUUGACAGUGGCACGCAUCGCAAUUGCGUUGAUGAUGGUAAUGCUUCGAGAAGGAAGACACGCGACGCGGAGGAAACGAGGAAACGUCUCUGGUGAAAGCUUUUUAGACGAAGGAACAAAGAGACGAGGCAAUAAUGGGCGAAAUGCCGCAGCGUUCACCGCACCGUACGAUUCUGAUCUGCAUCUGCCCGGUUAUUACCCCUAAAUUACGCAUUGCCGGAGAAAUUUCAUACGUUGUGGCAAGUUAAUGUCAUUAUUCCGAAGUACAAACCCUUCUCACGGAAAAAUACCAAUGAUAAUGUGAUUGUAAAAGACCCCAAACAGGUUAUGUUCGAUUAAAAUCUGACGGAUUGAUUUUUUUUCAAAGUUAUAGAAUCAAUAGAAUUAUUGAUCGAAUAUACGAGAAAUAUAAUGUAAUAAAGAAAAGAUUCUGUCUAAAAUAAAUUUUUAAAUAUAAUUUUUAAUAUCGAUACGAGCGCGUUAAAAAUCAACAA